AACCUUAUGGACCUGCGGGCGUAUACCUGCGGAGGGAUCAUUACCGAGUUAGGGUGUUGCCUCUGGCACGCCCGACCUCCCAACCCUUUGUUUACACGAUACCUGUUUGUUGCUUCGGCGAGCCGGCCACCUCUUCACUGAGGACCGCCUGGUCUCUCAGGACCGGGAGAGCGUUCGCCGACGGCCCAACCAAAAUCAAAAUUCUUGAAACCAAAACAUGUCGUCUGAAACAUAUCUUUG
rnacentral:misc_RNA from 1 species